AUUGAACGCUGGCGGAAUGCUUUACACAUGCAAGUCGAACGGCAGCACGGGGGCUUGCUCCUGGUGGCGAGUGGCGAACGGGUGAGUAACGCGUCGGAACGUACCGAGUAAUGGGGAUAACUUAGGGAAACUUAAGCUAAUACCGCAUAAGCCCUAUGGGGGAAAGCAGGGGAUCGCAAGACCUUGCGCUAACAGAUGAGCCUAUGUCGGAUUAGCUAGUUGGUAGGGUAAAGGCUCACCAAGGCGACGAUCCGUAGCUGGUCUGAGAGGACGACCAGCCACACUGGGACUGAGACACGGCCCAGACUCCUACGGGAGGCAGCAGUGGGGAAUUUUGGACAAUGGGGGCAACCCUGAUCCAGCCAUGCCGCGUGAGUGAAGAAGGCCUUCGGGUUGUAAAGCUCUUUCGGCCGGGACGAAACGGUACAUCUUAAUACGGUGUGCUAAUGACGGUACCGGCAGAAGAAGCACCGGCUAACUACGUGCCAGCAGCCGCGGUAAUACGUAGGGUGCGAGCGUUAAUCGGAAUUACUGGGCGUAAAGCGUGCGCAGGCGGAUUGUUAAGCAAGAUGUGAAAUCCCCGGGCUUAACCUGGGAAUGGCAUUUUGAACUGGCAGUCUAGAGUGUGUCAGAGGGGGGUGGAAUUCCACGUGUAGCAGUGAAAUGCGUAGAUAUGUGGAGGAACACCAAUGGCGAAGGCAGCCCCCUGGGAUAACACUGACGCUCAUGUACGAAAGCGUGGGUAGCAAACAGGAUUAGAUACCCUGGUAGUCCACGCCCUAAACGAUGUCAACUGGUUGUUGGGGGAGUGAAAUCCCUUAGUAACGAAGCUAACGCGUGAAGUUGACCGCCUGGGGAGUACGGUCGCAAGAUUA
rnacentral:rRNA from 1 species